GAAGGUGUAGAAAAGGGGUGGGGUGCGGCGGUAGAGGGGUGGAAGCCUAGCCAAGCUUAGAUGCGGCCGUGGUCGGGUGGGGCACACGGCGGGUAAGGGUGCAUGCUACGCCUACGUCGGAGUGGGUUAACGACUAGAGGCGGCGGUCGAGUCCGGAAGCGGCCACUGAUAGGCAAGAGGGGGCAGUAGCUAGAACGGUCAACCUCGGGGUAGUCGUAGGCAGAAGGAGUGGCAGCGCUUCAGCACCAGGAGUGCCUGCAGUAGAAGUGGCAGUGGUUCAACGUAGGUACGGCCGCAGUAGGAGAUGGGCUUCGAGGCGGCGUACAACACAGCGAUGUGGCAGGUGUUCGUCGAGAGCCGUGGUAGGAUGUAGAAGUCUGAAGGCGGGGCAGUUCGUCCUAUUACAUCUUCUGAACUCUCUGCUCGACUCAUGCUACGUAAACAAGUACUUCGUUUUUAAGCGACUUCUCUUUACCUGUUUAUUUUAACAUUGGCACCCUUCACUACUUCAACUAAAGUCGCCUUCUCAACAACCGUCACUGGAUGGUGUACUUCUUAGUAUACUGUCACACGUACGAGGUGUCUUACAAUACGUCUACUACGUUAUCAAAGAAGUGAUCAUUCAAUCGCGGUCUAAAAAGAGUAUGAAUUUUUGUUAACAAGUAGUAUUCAACGUCCUUAACGUAGGAUCGUCAACACGCUCUUGGUUUCUCCCAGUGUCGUCUAGCAGAAAUUCUGUACUUGUGUAGCAACGAUUCUACGCGUGUAACUUUUCAAACUAUCCCGAUCAGUUCCACGUCUUAGUUGAAAUGGUUCUGCUCGUCAAUUGAUCGGUCAAAAAAUCCAGUUUUAUGGAUUCUGUUAGCGAGGUUGUUGUGGUGUUUUCUAAGCAUGAGGUUGUACUGGUGUUCUGUAACUACACCCAUACGAUUCCGAAAUCUCCACACGUAACGUCCUAGGUCCUCGUCGACGUCUACCUAAUCAAAAAUUUACUUGUUUGUAUAGCUUAAUACAAAUCUAAAAUCGAAGUAUCCUUUUGAAUCAAGAUCAUACAUCCUUAAAAAGAAUUAAUUAAUAAACAUAAAAAGUAUACUUAAAGACUAAACUAAGUCAACACUUGAGGUGUAUGAAAAUCUUCUACAAAGACAAGGAUGAUUUAUCAGG
rnacentral:rRNA from 1 species